GUGACUUGCAGUGCUGAGGAUGCACCCCUGGGAAUUGGGACCAGCACGUGUUAGCAGCCGGCUGUCCCUGUGGGACACGUUUGCUUGUUCCUGCAGUGCUGCAAGCCUGGGAGUCGUGUCCCCGCUUGUUCUGAUUAUUGUUUCCUUAAAGGGUGGCACCUCUCUGCUACUGGAUGAUGAAAAUGAACCUAACCAGUUGGUGCCACAGGCACUGAAGGGAAUGAGGUCUCCUGCAUUUUUGCCUACAUUUUAUCCAGUGGAACAUAAAGUGCAUUAUUUACAAGCUUCACAGGUGCAGGUGCCGGUGCCCACACCGGCAAGCCACAGCCAGGUGCCGCUGCAGCUUGGAAACAGGUGGAUCUGGAUGCAAGCAGUGAAGCCAAGGGGGUCAGGCAGGCACCGCAGGAGGAACUUCUCAGCUUGGCAGCCAGAAAAGCUGGACAAGAACAGCACAGUGUGUUGUCUCCUACAUGCUGUUCUGUUCUAACAACAUCCAUCAAGACAAAUGCAUACCUGAGUACAGCUUCCCUCAAACCUCAGAAAUCUCUUUCUGAGGUCACAGACUACAAAAAAGACAAAGAAGAAACAAGAAGGAAAUUGUGCAAACAAUUAAACAUUUUUUUUCAAGAGACAUAGAGGAUUCCCCUUGUCUGCACAAGGCAAGCACCAAAAUAAGAAUGCCAUAUCUCAAACACAAGGCAAUCUAUUAUUCUCAGAGCAGUAACAUGAUACAUUAUCAGCCACCUUAUCCUAGCAAAAUGUAUCAUUACCUGCACUUUCUGCACUUUCCAGAUCAAUCCACUUUAAAAAUGUAGUAAUAUAGAAGGGUAUUAGGUACUAGAAAACUCAUUAUGAAAAUGGCGCACUCAAAUUCUUUAAAGGUGAUAUUUCAUAAAAUAUACUAUGCCUAGCUCUUGGCUCAAUCAUUCUUUUUAAUAGCUCCAUAGCAGCCAGAAAAUAAAGUAUUCAUGAAGAUUGAAGAAGAUGAUCCCAUGAACUUCAAUUUAAUUGGUGCAAAUUAAAACGAUCCAUCUUUUCACGCUGCCCGUCUAUCUCCAAUCAUCAGUGCACCGCACGUCCAGCACCCUGAUUACAAUUAUCUUUUAAUAGGAAAACUUGUCACUUUUUGUGUGAUUUACAUAAGCUUGCACAAACUUACUGGUAUCAUUUAGGGUUGGAAUGUAUGAUUUUUUUUUUCAUUUGAGUCCUUUGAUAUAGUUGGGGGGGGUGCAGAGGUGAGGUGAGCUCUUGGCAGGGGGCUCAUUUACUGCACUUAAAGCCUGGACUUGUACAAGAAGAAUGCCAGAGUGCAGCCUUCAAUACAUCUUCAUUCACCAGACCUCCCCCCAAAGAAGUGCUAAUGCAGCCAGAUUUCACGGUGUCUUUGCAAUGACCAUUGCAAUUACAAUACAAAAACCUAGAUGACAUUUUGACUUUUAAUUAGGAGGGAAAUGACGCUGGUCCCUGCUGAUGGCUCUCCCUCUCCCUCCAACUGCUCCUAGCACUCCCAUCCUGAGAAGGUACCCUGCAGGGUUUAAUAAGCCAUCAAAUCAUAGUGGUGUGGGACAUAUUCUCAAGAGUUCAAAUAGAAUUACCAUAAAUAUAUGUUUACUGUUCCUGGUCUAGUGUCUAGGAUCUGGUUGAGGACCCUCCAGCCAGGAGCAGCAAAAAGGACCCACCGUAUCAAUUAUUGUUACUAUUAUUAUUACUGUUUUCUUUGUGAUGGCCACACUCCAACAGUGAGGACACUGCAGAAUGAUUCAUGGCCUGAAGCCGUUUAUGUAUAUGUUUCAAUUUUCUUUACUUAUCUUUGAAAGGCAACCGUCCUUAUCACAGAUGGCUUCAAUGCCUGAAGAUGUCGUGAGAUUUAGCUCUGUCUUCUGAGGACGGAUUUUUCUAUGCAUUGAAGUAAUUAGUAUUGUUUAGCUUUUGUCCAUGCAUUCUGUGAUAUUAACCCUAAACAAGAGGUAGGCAACCCAAAGAACAACAAAUGCAACUGGUUUAUUCUCCAUGAUCUUACUGAUCAUAACCUUUUACACUUCUACUGAAGCCCAUGGAGAACAGCUUUUAAAAAGCGUGAGUUUCCAGCUCCACCUUUUCAAUAGCAAUGGAGAGCAGCUAAAACUCCUUGCUGCACAGUGUAGCACGGACCCCGCAGGGGUUAUCAGUGUGCAAGUAUUAAACUUUUUAGCACAUCCACUGCAAAGCAAUUUUGAGGAGUCCUUUGCUGGAACAGUUCAAAUGAAACUCAUGGCUGAUCUCAUUAAGCACUUGUCUCAUUUUGGUGCAUGAAUAUUAAAUAGGAACGUGCACGAGCAGGACACCACAGAAAGGGACAUUUUUCCUCUCAGCUCAGCGCAGCUGCCAGAGCAGGUGCCCGGGGGGCUCUGCAGGAGUGUGGGAGCCGAUGCCCUUCCUCCCGGUCACCGCACACUGAGAGUGGCGGAGGCGGGUGGCAGCACAAGGGCUAUGGAGGGUUUGCCAUAGGAGACGGCCCCUCUGCCUUC